AACGAACGCUGGCGGCAGGCCUAACACAUGCAAGUCGAACGAGAAGCCACCUUCGGGUGGUGGACAGUGGCAGACGGGUGAGUAACGCGUGGGAACGUGCCUUUCGGUUCGGGAUAACCCAGGGAAACUUGGGCUAAUACCGGAUACGCCCUCCGGGGGAAAGAUUCAUCGCCGAAAGAUCGGCCCGCGUCGGAUUGGCUAGUUGGUAGGGUAAUGGCCUACCAAGGCGACGAUCCGUAGCUGGUCUGAGAGGAUGACCAGCCACACUGGGACUGAGACACGGCCCAGACUCCUACGGGAGGCAGCAGUGGGGAAUAUUGGACAAUGGGCGAAAGCCUGAUCCAGCCAUGCCGCGUGGGUGAAGAAGGCCUUAGGGUUGUAAACCCCUUUCAGCGGGGAAGAUAAUGACGGUACCCGCAGAAGAAGUCCCGGCUAACUCCGUGCCAGCAGCCGCAGUAA
rnacentral:rRNA from 1 species